rnacentral:rRNA from 1 species
UGGGGAAUUUUGGACAACGGGCGAAAGCCUGAUCCAGCAAUGCCGCGUGUGUGAAGAAGGCCUUCGGGUUGUAAAGCACUUUUGUCCGGAAAGAAAUCCUUGGCUCUAAUACAGUCGGGGGAUGACGGUACCGGAAGAAUAAGCACCGGCUAACUACGUGCCAGCAGCCGCGGUAAUACGUAGGGUGCAAGCGUUAAUCGGAAUUACUGGGCGUAAAGCGUGCGCAGGCGGUUUGCUAAGACCGAUGUGAAAUCCCCGGGCUCAACCUGGGAACUGCAUUGGUGACUGGCAGGCUAGAGUAUGGCAGAGGGGGGUAGAAUUCCACGUGUAGCAGUGAAAUGCGUAGAGAUGUGGAGGAAUACCGAUGGCGAAGGCAGCCCCCUGGGCCAAUACUGACGCUCAUGCACGAAAGCGUGGGGAGCAAACAGGAUUAGAUACCCUGGUAGUCCACGCCCUAAAACGAUGUCAACUAGUUGUUGGGGAUUCAUUUCCUUAGUAACGUAGCUAACGCGUGAAGUUGACCGCCUGGGGAGUACGGUCGCAAGAUUAAAACUUAAAGGAAUUGACGGGGUCAUAGCUGUUUCCU